AAGGGGCCGAGGCGCCUUAACGGUCCAGAGCCUGUCGGGUCUCUGCUGGCGGCGGCUGACCGGGUCAGGGGGCUCGCUGAAGAGAUGAAAGCAAUGGAAGUCUGUCAAUGGCCAGAGCAGGCACCAGCAUGACCACAAGAUGUCCCAAGAGCAUGGUGUGCUUGGUUUUUCUUAUUAAAUGCUUACUCUUUAUAAAAUGUUACUUACUUGUGAAUUCGCUAGGUAUUUGCCUAUUGAUGAAUUAAUCUUUUUCACAUGCUGUUAAUUUAAUUUUGCAGAGGUGAUCAGUUCUAAUACUUAAAUUUUUGCCUUUGUGUUGCCCGUUCAUUCCUGUCCAGAAUGAAUGUGGUGUCAAAAAAGGCAAACAGGAAUUCUUGCUUAAACUGUUUAAGGAGCUGGUUAUUUACCUUUCUCCUCCCUGUUUUUGCAAGGACAAAAAAAAUCUAGAAAUUGUAUGGUUGAGCAGUUACAUGGUAGACUUUGUGCUUCAGUCUUUUUAAAUGAAGAAUCUGACAGUUAGUAUAAGAGGAAAAACUAAAAUUAUAACGGCCACUUCUAGCAUUGUUUAGCUGUCCUGUCUAUUGUGAUAAGAUCUUACAUCUGUGCUGCAAGUAAUUAGUACAUAACAUUUCAGACUCCUGCAGUGGCCUCUAGUUUUUCUAUUGCAAAAAGAUCUCUACAGCUUCAGAAUACUCAGCUACAGAAAAGAUUAAAAUCUUCUUUAAUGGGGAAAAAACAUGUUCUGCCUUUGUGCAUUUACCUUUUUGUUAUUUAUGUCUGGUAUUGGAAAGGUAUAAAGAGAAUCUCUCUGCAGGACUCUUUGAUUUGGGUAAUAAUGUAUUCUACUCUUUUGCUGUACACAGAACAGUCUUUCCUUCAUACACCUUUGAAAAUGUAAAGUAUAUUUUAAUAUUGCUGUUGCAGGCAGCUCGCACCUUGGGGACUGUGGCGCCUGUUCCUACCAGAAUGCUUAACGCUACGAACAGUUCUUUCAGAGUUCUAGUGUGUUUUGCUGAAAGUUCAGAAGCUCACAGAGAUAGCCCGAUGUGGAGAAAGCCUCUAAGCAUGAGAAGGGCAUGUAGGAAAAAGUUACAAAGUACUGAUUGCCCAGCUGUCCUGCAACUUCCUUCAUUAGGAAAGAAUGUAACAGAAGUCUUCUGUGAAGUGAUGAAAUUCCUUCAAGUUUGUCACAGUGCCCUUGAAAAUACUAGAAUCGGAAAGGUUCAUGCAUUGAAAUGUGAAAAUCUGCUUGAGCAACAUGAAAAACACAGAUGCAGUUAUUGCUUUACCAGUGCUGUCGAUAAAAAAUGAACUAGUGAAAUCCAUCCCAGACCUUCAGCACCAUAGGCACUGGGGGUUUUUGCAAGGCUGAAUAGAAGGAUGGGCACCCUUUAUAUGAACCUGCCAGACACUGGGAAGAGAAAUGAAGAAUUGUUAUAACAAGCCUGAGACCAGCGGGAAUCUCUGCAGGACCACUCCCUAAGAAACAAACUGUUAAAAAGAUG